rnacentral:tRNA from 1 species
CAAGAGAUUAUUUUAAUAAAAAAAAAUAUUUCCCUUACAAGGAAAAGAUAAUGUUACAUUUCUCUUGAA